UACAGAGGGUGCAAGCGUUGUUCGGAAUCAUUGGGCGUAAAGCGCACGUAGGCGGUCUGCUAAGUCGGGGUGUGAAAGCCCCAGGCUCAACCUGGGAAGUGCACUCGAAACUGGCGGACUUGAAUGUCGGAGAGGGUGGUGGAAUUCCGAGUGUAGAGGUGAAAUUCGUAGAUAUUCGGAGGAACACCAGUGGCGAAGGCGACCACCUGGACGAACAUUGACGCUGAGGUGCGAAAGCGUGGGGAGCAAACAGG
rnacentral:rRNA from 1 species